UCCAGACUCCUACGGGAGGCAGCAGUGAGGAAUAUUGGUCAAUGGGCGAGAGCCUGAACCAGCCAAGUCGCGUGAGGGAUGACUGCCCUAUGGGUUGUAAACCUCUUUUGUAUGGGGGGAAUAAGCUUUACGAGUAGAGUGAUGACAGUACCAUACGAAUAAGCAUCGGCUAACUCCGUGCCGGCAGCCGCGGUAAUACGGAGGAUGCGAGCGUUAUCCGGAUUUAUUGGGUUUAAAGGGUGCGUAGGCGGCAUUAUAAGUUAGUGGUAAAAUAUUGGGGCUUCACCUCACUACGCCAUUAAUACUGUAGAGCUAGAGAACAGACGAGGUAGGCGGAAUAAGUUAAGUAGCGGUGAAAUGCAUAGAUAUCGCGCAGAACCCCGAUUGCGAAGGCAGCGUACCGGCUCCACACUGACGCUGAGGCACGAAAGCGUGGGUAUCGAACAGGAUUAGAUACCCUCGUACG
rnacentral:rRNA from 1 species